rnacentral:rRNA from 1 species
GAUGAACGCUAGCGGCAGGCCUAACACAUGCAAGUCGAGGGGUAGAAGGAGCUUGCUCCUUUGAGACCGGCGCACGGGUGCGUAACGCGUAUGCAAUCUACCUUGUACAGGGGAAUAGCCCAGAGAAAUUUGGAUUAAUGCCCCAUAGUAUAUAACCUUCGCAUGUUGGUUAUAUUAAAGUUCCAACGGUACAAGAUGAGCAUGCGUCCCAUUAGUUAGUUGGUAAGGUAACGGCUUACCAAGACGAUGAUGGGUAGGGGACCUGAGAGGGAGAUCCCCCACACUGGUACUGAGACACGGACCAGACUCCUACGGGAGGCAGCAGUGAGGAAUAUUGGUCAAUGGUCGCAAGACUGAACCAGCCAUGCCGCGUGCAGGAAGACGGUCCUAUGGAUUGUAAACUGCUUUUAUACAGGAAGAAACCCUCCCACGUGUGGGAGCUUGACGGUACUGUAGGAAUAAGGAUCGGCUAACUCCGUG